UCCAAAAUUGCAAGUAUCCCCCCUUUCCCUUCCUGCACAGUAAACCCUAACAUCCCAAAAAGAACUUCGCCACCAGACAAAGUUAGGGUUUUUCAAUGGCUGAUCGCAACUUGGCGGUCGUGAAACCAAUAUGGAUGAAGCAAGCAGAAGAGGCGAAGCUGAAGAGUGAGGCCGAGAAGACUGCUGCGGCGAAAGCAGCCUUUGAGGCCACGUUCAAGGACGUGGAGAAGAACCGUGAGGCGGCUUCGUCGGAUAGUGAUGGUGAAGAAGAAUCUGAGGACUUGGCGAACAAGCCGAUUGGGCCGGUUGACCCAGCCAAGUGUGCGGCGGCUGGGGCUGGGAUAGCCGGUGGAACGGCAUGCACACCAUCAUCUUUUAUGGUUGUGACGAAGGAUUCUGAUGGAAGGAAGGUACCAAACGGUGGUGCGCAAGUUAAAGUGAAGGUUUCCCCUGGAGUGGGCGUUGGGGGCUCCGAGCAGGAUGGGAUUGUGAAGGAUAUGGGUGAUGGGACGUACACGAUUACCUAUGUGGUUCCAAAGAGAGGGAAUUAUAUGUUGAGCGUUGAGUGCAAUGGGAAGCCAAUAAUGGGUAGCCCCUUUCCAGUGUUUUUCAGUGCAGGUACUACUACUGGAGGACUCCUGGGUUUGGCUCCGGCGGCCUCAUUUCCAAAUUUAGUUAACCAGACCAUGCCCAAUAUGCCAAAUUAUUCGGGUUCCGUAUCGGGGGCAUUCCCUGGUUUGCUUGGAAUGAUUCCAGGCAUUAUUCCUGGUGCUUCAGGAGGAGUGCUUUUGCCUGGAGUUGGAGCAUCUCUUGGAGAAGUUUGCCGAGAAUAUCUUAAUGGUCGGUGUGCAAAAACAGAUUGCAAGUUCAAUCACCCUCCUCACAAUCUCCUGAUGACUGCUUUGGCCGCCACGACCAGCAUGGGGAAUGUCAGUCAAGUGCCCAUGGCACCAUCUGCAGCUGCAAUGGCUGCUGCUCAGGCAAUUGUUGCUGCUCAAGCCCUUCAAGCCCAUGCUCAUGCACAAGCACAAGCUCAGUCUGCCAGGGACUCUUCUGGAUCAGCUGACAAAGAGGGGAAGGCUGAUUCCUUGAAGAGGACUCUACAAGUUAGCAAUCUCAGUCCACUUCUCACAGUGGAUCAGUUGAAACAACUUUUCAGUUUUUGUGGGACAAUUGUUGAAUGUAGUAUCACUGAUUCGAAGCAUUUUGCCUACAUAGAAUACUCAAAACCUGAAGAAGCAACUGCUGCUUUGGCAUUGAACAAUAUGGAUGUUGGGGGUCGUCCAUUGAAUGUUGAAAUGGCAAAAUCACUUCCACAAAAACCAGCUCUUUUGAACUCACCUCUUUCUUCAUCUUCUUUGCCCAUGGUGAUGCAACAAGCUGUGGCCAUGCAACAGAUGCAAUUUCAGCAGGCCCUGUUAAUGCAACAAACAAUGACAGCACAGCAGGCAGCUAACCGAGCUGCUACCAUGAAGACUGCAACAGAACUAGCAGCAGCUAGAGCUGCAGAAAUAAGCAAGAAGCUGAAAGCCGAUGGAUUUGGAAAUAAUGAUGAGGAAACAAAUCGAAAAUCUAGGUCACCAUCCCCCACCACCCGUGCUAGGUCACCAUCAAUCACUCGUGGAAGGUCAAGAUCCAAGUCGAGAUCUCCUAUCAAUUAUCGGCGAAGGCGGAGAUCUCGUUCUUACUCGCCUCGAUACCGUCAAUCAAGAGAUCAUAGAUCAAGAUCACCAUUAAGAUCUCGCCAUUACUCCAGCUAUGAAAAUGGACGACGGUCUUAUAGGGACAUUAGGGAUGACGGUGGCAGAGGUAGAAGAAGGGAUUCAGGUAGAUCACAUGACCACCAUUCUUCUGUUUCAAGGAGAAAUAGGAGUAGGAGUAUGAGCCCUCGAACGAGGAAGUCAUAUCGGGGUGAUUCAGACUCACCAAAACAUCGUCGAGAUAGUUCAACACACAGGACGAGGAAACCAUCGCGUGCUAGUUCAAAGUCACCAGGGCAUAGAGGAAGUAGGGCGUCCCCGAGAAGUGAUGAUUUAAUUAAAUCAAAACACAGAAGGCGUUCCAGGUCAAAAUCUGCUGAAGUUAAGCAUCAAUCCAAGGAUAAAUUAGAUGACAGCAGAGAAGAAAAAACAAAGCAUCGGAGUAGAAGACGGUCGAGGUCAGUAUCAGAGGAAGGUAAGCAUCACAGAGGAAGUAGGUUAUCCCCAAGAAUUUUGGAUGAAAGCAGAUCAAAGCACAGAAGGCGGUCCAUGUCAAAAUCUCCAGAAGAUAAGCAUCACUCCGAUAAUAAAAAGAAAAGAAGCAGAGAUGAGAAAUCAAAACAUGACAGGAGGCGGUCCAGGUCAAUAUCUGCAGAGGGUAAGCGUCAGAAAGGAAGCAGGACAUCCCCAAGACAUUUGGAUGAACACAAGUCAAAAUAUAGAAAGCGCUCACGGUCAAAAUCGUCUGAAAAUAGGAGUCGUUCAAAUGAUAAUAGUAUAGAAGAAAGUAAAGAUGAAAAUUUAGAGCAUCAUGAUAGAAUACCUGUCAGAUCUGAUGAUUCCAUUGAGGAACCUGCAUUGCAUUCAAAGGAUUUGACUGAUGAGAAGGAUGAAGGGAUAUCAGUUUCUUUAGCAGCUGCUUACAAAGAGAGCUCCUCGAUUAUGGAAGACUACAACUCAGAAGGCAGAAGUGACGAAGAUAAGCAUAACAGUUCUAGAGGGAAUGGGAGCAAUUAUCAUGAGAAAAAUGAGGUUACCAAUGAGGAUCAGUAUAAUGCUGAAGAAAUAUGAACUGAGUAAUGCAGACACUAUAAUUUGAAGAGUUUCCUCAGUGGGAGAUGAUUUUGGACAUUACAUCUACAGUGGAAAGUUUGGUCUGAUUUAGAAAGCAAGUUGAGAUUCAUAUUGAAAAAUUUAUCCAAGUUUUUCUAGUGGGGAAAGAGGUCCUGCUUAGUGGAAGAAGGGCUGUCUCUUAGAAGAUCGCUUGGUGUUCCGUUUGGUGCUCAGAAUUUUUCUGUGGAUUUUUGGCUCUUCAUACAAUAAAAUUCUGUGUUUGUUUUCUUUUGCAGGUUCAGUGGUUACAGAUCGGCUAUACUGUCUGAGCUGAUCUUAUCAUGGUAAGAGAAUUUGAAGAAGCUUUCUGUUCCCCCUCUGGGAUCGACUGUGCAAUGUUUUUAGAGAACUUUAACAUCAUGAUGCCUGCUUGAUCUAAAUAAGUUGCUGCAUUUAUGCCCUUUGGCGAAGAUGGCCAUACUUCUAUAAACUGAGAAGACGAACAUGCACUGUUUUAGAUGCUGGUCUCUAUUGGCGCUUUAUCAGAUCAAUUUGGCAGGGUUGUUUUAUCUGAUUGCAUAUGAAGGUAUGCAGUUGCGGAUUUUGGUAGUUCAUGACAGGAGCUCUUGCUGUUAAACUUUCAAGGAAUUUCUUUAUAUUUGGGAGUUUAGCUGGAUAUUGUUUGGGAUGUGAAGAUUUCUUUAUGAAGUCUAAGUUUUUAUUUUUAUGAAUAUUGUUUAAAUCUUGUACCUUACUUCCUCAUCUUCUCUUUUCCCCCCCUCUAUUUCUCCCUUAUUCUAUUCCCCUUUUCCAUUUUCUUCAUUUUCUUUCUUUUCCUCCUUUGGGAAUUGUUUGGUUAGGUAAACUACUUUUAAAGUCUACUCCAACCAGAUGUUGCUGAGAUGACUAGCGUCAAUGUUGCACCAUGUUGAGUAUGAGCAGAUUGGCUGACUAAUAUACUUAAAUUCAUGCUGAAAUUCAAAUAUUUUAUAACAGGUAAUUCUUUUGUGAAAUUGUUGAAUUCAGAUAUGAAACUUAAUAUGUCGUUCGUAGAAGCUUCAGUUAGUGUUGGCCACUUAGAUGUGUGCCUAUUGACCAUGCGGAUCCUUAUGAAAUUUGGGUGUUUUUUUGAUCUAUAUUACUUGUCCUACAUUAAAACUUGUAUGUUACUUGGGAAUUAUUAGUGUACCUUUCUUAUUUGGGGCUCGGAAAAAACCUACAAUUUUUUAUUUAUUUUUAUGUUGAAUAAAAAACGUACAAUGUUGCUGCAUGCUUUAUAUAUAUAUUUCCACUACCCCCACAAAGAUCGUGAUCGUCUCUAUUGCUUAUGACAUGACCACAAUUUUCAUCGUCUGUGGCUAGUCAUUCUUUUUCUUGGGGACCUGUAGCCCAGACAUCUAGUUUUGUUUCAACUAUAAGAGAUCAUAUAUGACAUUUACAAAUGUGACUAAUGCAUGUUCCCAAGGCUCCAGUUGAUUGCUUCUUGUAACUAACAUUCAUGAUGGGGAGCGGCAGAGAAAUCGCUCUCGUCAUGAUCCUGCUGUGUCUAAUUUUGUUCUGAAAACUGUAAUUUGUCUUUGAUAAGUUUGUCCCAUUUUACUCUAGUUUGUGCUUGGUUUCAUCAGUGUCUGAAACCUAUAUAUUUUUCUGAAAACUGUAAUUUGGCUUUGAUAAGUUUGUCCAACUUUACACUAGUUUGUGCUUGGUUUGUUAUGUGUCUGAAACCUAUAUAUUUUUCUUCUCUCUCUUGGCAUUUCUUCUUCCCCAAUCCCCCCCUCCUCUCUGUUUCUGUUGCUUGGUAGGAUAUGCUGUGGAUGUGGACUGAAGGCUGAAAUUGUGGUUCCAAACUCCGGGCUUAAUGCAUUUAGCGCGACAUUGAUGUUACUUUUUUUUCCUUCUCUUUUUCUGUCUUCCCCCAUCUUUUUGUCCUUUUUUUCUUCUUUUUCUCUCUUCCCCCAUCUUCUUUUUAUCCUUUUUCUUUCCCCUUUCUUUCUUCUUUCUUUUUCUUUUCUUUUCUUUUUUUUUUUUUUUGGUUUGUUUGUUUUUUGGUGCAAGGAUGAUAGCUCUAGAUGAAGGAAAUGUGCACCGAGCUGAGGAGAUCCGCAUGUAGUUUUCUUGACCACUAUUUUUAGAACUUGAUCUUUUUGGUUUGACUUAACUGUGGCGUAGUCUGCUAUUUUCAGAACUUUUAUCUUUCUCUCAGUAAAUACUAUUUUGAGAACUUCAUCUC